AGCUACAAAUACCAGUGGGUGGAUGGCUCGGUUCGGGGGACGAUGAAGGGCGUGGCAAGCUGCGAUAAGCCCGGGGAAGCCGCAGGCAGGCUUUGAUCCCGGGAUACCCUAAUAAGCAUCUUCUGGACGCAAGUCCAUGUACCCGUCAGGGUAAGAGAACGGGGGGAAUUGAAACAUCUUAGUAGCCCCAGGAAAAGAAAUCAAACGAGAUGCCGUUAUUAGUGGCGAACGAAAACGGCAAAGGCCAAACCGAAUCCGCAGGCGACGAGUCUGUGGAGAUGUGGGGUUGUGGGACCUCUGAUAAACCCUAACCAGAGUAGUCGAAUCGUCUGGAAAGACGGACCGUAGUGGGUGAUAGUCCCGUAGGCGAAAUUCUGGUGGGUGGAAGAGGUAUCCCGAGUACCCGUGCUUGAUAUUGCAUGGGGAAGCUGGGUGGCACCGUCAUCCAAGCCUAAACACUUCCCGAAUCCGAUAGCGUAUAGUAGGGUGACCGGAAGCUGAAAAGUAUCCCGAAAGGGAGAUGAAAAAACCUGAAACCUGCUGGUGUCAUUUCGAUGGGGCCUGAAAGGCGCAAGCCAGGGUUCCAUCGUAGGUUUGGGAUAACAAGCCAGGGAGUUUGCUUUGGUGGCGAGGUUAAUGGCCGUGCGGCCAGAAGCCAUAGCGAAAGCGAUUAGCCAGCACGCAAGGAGUGGCACCGUCUGAAAGGGCGGGGAGUCACCGGGGCAAGACUCGAAGCCCGGCGAUCUAUUCUUGGGCAGGAUGAAGCCCAUCCAAAAGGUGGGUGGAGGUCCGAAGGGGUAUUGUGUACCUAACAUUCCUCUGACCUGAGAUUAGGGGUGAAAGGCCAAUCUAGCCGGGCGAUAGCGAGUUCUCUCCAAAACGCCGUCCCAGGACGGCCUCGCUGGAGGAGCCAUCACAGGUAGAGUUACAGAUUGGGGUAACUGGUCUCGAAAGGGAUCGGCCCCCUGUCUAACUCCGAACUUUGAUGGUCCGUAGAAGGCGGGAGGCGGGGCACCAGGUAAACUGUGGCUCCGAGAGGGGAACAACCCCGACUGAAGUUAAGGACCCAAAAUACUGGUUAAGUGUGAAAGGCUGAAGGUUGUCUUGGUUCAUAGACAGGGGGAAGGUGGGCAUAGAAGUCGCCAUCCUCUAAGGAGUGUGUAACAACUCACCUCUCGAGAAUCAGGGCGCUGAAGAUGGACGGGGCUAAACCAGUUUCCGAUACUUCAGGUCCAACUGAUUAAGUUGGAUGGUAGGAGAGCGCUGCGGUAGGGCAGAAGUGGGGCUGUGAAGUCCUGUGGACCUGCCGGAGACGAAAAUCCUGGUCGUAGUAGCAACAAAGCAGAGUGAGAAUCUCUGCCGCCGAAGGGACAAGGGCUCCUCCACAAUGAUCGUCAGUGGAGGGUUAGGCGAUCCUAACCUCACCCGUAACUCGGGUUAGGGGAAAGGGAAACCGGUUAAUAUUCCGGUCCCAUGGUCGUAGGUGCGGUAACGCAAGCAUGUCUUCUGACUCUUCAGGCUAGGGCUUUUGCAACUGUCGUUGCAUCUAACUGUUGAAGCCCGGGGAGUGCCGUAAUGGCGAGAACCGGGUGAAGGCAGGAAUGGCCUGGCAAUUAAGCCGGGUUAGGCCAAUGCCUGGAGACUGUGAAAAGGAAGAGUGAACGAAAACCAUGAUCGUACCCAGAACCAACACAGGUGUUCCAGGGUUAGAAACCCAAGGCGUUUCGAGUAUAACCUAAGCUAAGGGAAUUCGGCAAAAUGGUCCCGUAACUUUGGAAGAAGGGAUGUCUGGCCAUGUGAGUGGUCAGAUCGAAGUGACUAGGGGGGACCGACUGUUUAACAAAAACAUAGCGAACUGCUGUCCAGUAAUGGCUUGUACAGUUCGUGAGGCCUUCCCACUACUGGUUACUGAAACCUGGGUUCAACCGGGCGAAGGGCCAGCGAAGGGAGGAGGUAACUGUGACCUUCUUAAGGUAGAUAAUCCCUGCCUUAGUAAAAUCUGACUAUAUGCUGGAAAAUCCGAGUAUCUUACACUACUCGUGCCGAGAGGUGCAGUGAAAAUGUGAUAAGUGCGGACAAUCAGCAGGAAAGACCGACGCGAAAGUGGAGGUAUCCCCAGAGACUACACGUCAGAUCACGAGUGAACGCGCAAGCGUGAACGAGUGAAAGAUAUAGUCCGAGCCGUCAAGCGAUUGGCGGAGGUCAGCAGAAAUGUCUGGCCCGUCACGAGUCGCCGUCAGGUGAUGAGUGAUAGUAACAAACUGAGCGAAAUACCUUGCCGAAUAAAUGUCGGCGUGCAUGAAGGCUUAACGAGUUCCCCACUGUCCCUAGCUAGGACUCGGCGAAUAGCUCAAUCUGGUGCGAAGACCAGAAAAACCCAUCGGGUCGCAGAGACCCCGUGGAGCUUUACUGCAGCCUGCUGUUGUGACGCGGUUUAAAUCACGUAGCGUAGGUAGGAGCCGUCGAUACCACCCUCGCGGGGGUGGAGGAGGCAAAAAUGAAACACUACCUUUUUUGGAUUACGUCACUCACCUUUUAGGAGGAACAGCGGUAGGUGGGCAGUUUGGCUGGGGCGGCACCCCGACGAUAAAAAAUCAUCGGGGCCCAAUGGUUUGCUCAGGGGGGUCAGAACUCCCCCGUGGAGGGUAAAGCCAAAAGCAAGCUUAACGGGAUGGUGCACAAUGGACCUUCCCGGAACGAAAGUUGGGCUUAGCGAACCUCUGAGCCCUCUCGGUGAGGGCCAGAGCUGUCAGAAAAGUUACCCCGGGGAUAACAGACUCGUGCCGGGUGAGAGUACACAUCGACCCCGGCGUUUGGAGCCUCGCUGUCGGCUCUUCCCAUCCUGGCUGUGCAGGAGCAGCCAAGGGUGCGGGUGUUCACCGGUUAAAGGGAAUCGUGAGCUGGGUUCAAUACGUCGUGAGACAGUAUGGUUGUUAACUGGUGGGUUUCGUUCUGGGUCUGAGAGAAAGUGGACACAAGUACGAGAGGAACGUGUCGACGUGGCCAACGGUGAACGGCUGUCUGAUAAGGCAUGUCGUGCAGCUGCGCCAUAGUGGAUAAAGACUGAAAGCAUCUAAGUCUGAAGCCACUCUCAAGACGAGACCCAGUUGAGGGUUGGGGUAGAAGACCCCGUUGAUAGACAGGAGGUGUAUUUAUCAAGCGCAAGCGAGAUAUUCAGCCUGCCUGCACUAAUCGCCCGAAAG
rnacentral:rRNA from 1 species